rnacentral:rRNA from 1 species
GAUGAACGCUGGCGGCGUGCCUAAUACAUGCAAGUCGAGCGAACAGAUGAGGAGCUUGCUCCUCUGACGUUAGCGGCGGACGGGUGAGUAACACGUGGAUAACCUACCUAUAAGACUGGGAUAACUUCGGGAAACCGGAGCUAAUACCGGAUAAUAUAUUGAACCGCAUGGUUCAAUAGUGAAAGACGGUUUUGCUGUCACUUAUAGAUGGAUCCGCGCCGCAUUAGCUAGUUGGUAAGGUAACGGCUUACCAAGGCAACGAUGCGUAGCCGACCUGAGAGGGUGAUCGGCCACACUGGAACUGAGACACGGUCCAUACUCCUACGGGAGGCAGCAGUAGGGAAUGUUCCGCAAUGGGCGAAAGCCUGACGGAGCAACGCGGCGUGAGUGAUGAAGGUCUUCGGAUCGUAAAACUCUGUUAUUAGGGAAGAACAAAUGUGUAAGUAACUAUGCACGUCUUGACGGUACCUAAUCAGAAAGCCACGGCUAACUACGUG